GUAGUUGAAAGCUCUUCAAUUGGUACUUCUGUAGAGGUCGGCGAAGAUGAACCCUUUAUGUUGCUAUUUGAUGUUCAUCAGAUGGACUUCGAUAAACCGUAUUUUGGGCCUUUAUUGAUCUUAUUACAAAUCCUUUUGUCCUGAACCGAUGCCAUUUAUAGUUUCCUAUUAAACCUCCUGUUUAAUAAAAAACUAGGGGGCAAUGUUGGGUCGUGAUAUUUCUCCUAGUGGGCCGAAUGGAUUGGGCCUACUUGUUCAGUUAGUCCAUUGGAUCUUCACUAUUGGGUGUUGACAUUAUUGGGCCUAGUCAUUUUAUUAUCUUUGUUAAGUCCUUCUAAUAUCAAACCAAAUCAGUGGGUCGACCCAUCAGAUAUUUAAAUAUCUACAUCUUUGACCAGUGAUGAUGACAAAGAUAUGACUAACUGAUAUCUU
rnacentral:lncRNA from 1 species